UGGGAAGUGUAUCACGUGAUCGAGCACUGGCGCGAAACUUGAAAGCGCGCGCUUUUACAUUGUCAAUUGAAGAGCGAAGGAUUGGGUGAAUCGAAAGAAACCAGUUUACUGCUCAGAUUUUAAGCUGUUUUAGAACAUCUAGCCUUCGAUCUCUAGGAAGAAGCUACUAGCCGUAUUCUGCAACUGUCCCUUCAUACGUUUACCAGCUUUUGUUGGAACUUGCGAUCUAUUUUAAACAACGAAAGAGACCGGAGUUCGUAAUUCCUGUGUUGAUCAAUAUGGCGUCCACGAGAAGAUGUUCAUUCAUGGGUCGAGGAAGGCCGCCGUUGAGUGCUCAUAGCCAUCAAGUCAAUUCAGUUAGCAGGAAAAUUUUGGACGCUGAUAGCUUUUUGUCGGACCCUAUCAAGGCGAAAGCACCACUGUCGCCCUCAUUCAAAAGCUCAAAAACUGCGCUUUGCACUCCCGAUGUUUACUCGAAAGAACGAUCAGUCUGCCCAAGUCCCAGACCUCAGGUAAAACGUCGACUCGACCUGGACGAAUCUUCGACUAGAGUGCGACACUCAUUCAGAACACCAAAGACAAAGAGUUAUGCAAGAAGGAAAAUGAGGAGAGAUGUACAGCCUUACCCAAAAUUGUUUGUGAAAUCCCCCAUAGAAAAAACCAGGUAUGAUACAUCUCUUGGAAUUUUGACCAAGAAAUUUGUGGGGCUUUUGAGGAGUUCAGAAGAUGGUGUGGUGGAUCUGAAUCAAGCUGCUGAUCUUUUGGAAGUUCAAAAGCGAAGAAUCUAUGACAUUACCAAUGUCCUAGAGGGUGUUGGAUUAAUCAAAAAGAAAUCCAAGAACAACAUUGAAUGGAGAGGGACUUGCUACACCGAUAGCUCUUGUCGAAUGAAAGGAAUGGAGUCAAUUUCAGCACAGAUCAUGGAUCUUCACACGGAUGUUGCUGAUCUUGAUGCUAAAGAGUGUUUCCUUGACAGGAUGAUCGAAGGCUGCCGUGCAGAACUCAAAAACCUCACCGAGGACUCAGAAGUCGCCAAAUAUGCAUAUGUCACAUACAGAGACAUACGCGACAUCAAGCACUUCAAGAACAGAACCGUCAUUGCUAUCAAAGCCCCACCAGAAACAAGGCUGGAAGUACCAGAUCCAAAGGAGAAUAUCCAGAUCUGGCUGAAGAGUGUAAGAGGUCCCAUUGACGUCUACCUCUGUCCAGAGGACCAAGGUAGUCUCCCCUCACCAAUGAAGGACAUCUCUCCAAUCAAACGACCACCACCAGCACCAACCACUCCAAAUCAUUUCCUCCUGACACCUGAGAAAACCCCUCAUGGUUCUGGUGGCUCAGUGAUAACGCCAAUGCAGAAAUUUAAUGGGGAGGUACAGAGAAGUAUUCCAAUGUCAUUGAUCAGUCCACAGAAAAAUCUGUUCUUGCAGACGAAUGAUGAUGCUAUUCCUGACGACUUGGACAGUGACACCCUGAUUCCUCUUUCACCAAAUCUCACAGACGAAGAGUAUUUAUAUACGUUGACAGACACGGAAGGAAUCACUGAUCUGUUUGAUUCAUAUGAAUUCUGGAAUGAGGCAUGAUACAUGUCGGUUUCAAGUAUGCUUAUGUGAAUGCUCCUAUCAAUACAGGUUUGGUUUUAUCUUGUAAUGGUCAGCAAAAGUUAACAUUUUUCAACUGAACAUUUGUUUUAUUGUAAUACUACUUAUUAUAAGUGUAAAUAUGAUUAGGUAGAAGAGGAAUUUUGAUCUGCUAACAGGGUACAUGUAAGUACCAAGCUAAAAGAAUCAGGUAGCUUAAAAGAAAUGGUAUCUCUAAGCUGUAGGUAAACACAAUACCUAACCAUACUGUAUCAUUUUACUUCAGUAAGUGCUGUCCUUAACUGGAUUGCUAGCAUCACCAAUUGACUCUAUGCCAUAUUUUUACGAGUUCAGAUUUAAUAAGUGAUAAUAAUUUUGUGAGUCUUACAAAUUGACAUUUUUAAUUAACUAGCCUGCAUUGCUAAGUCAACAUCAUGUAAAUGUAAAACAAAGCCUGACUAAAAAUUACAUUUACUUACUAGGAAGUCCUUGAUUAAAAGAAAAAAUUAGCAGAUGUGUUUUUUUUUAACAGCUAUGUAAAUAGAUAGGGCAAAACAUUAGAACAUAAAGUAAGCCACAAAAAAAAAAAAACUGAGGUAAAUGAAACUGAUCUUAGCAAACUAUGAGAAUAUUAUAAUUAUUUUAAAAUUUAGUAAGCAAUUGUUGUGUCUUCAAACAAUAGGAAAAAGUAAUUACAAGGCAUAGCUUGUUAGAAUAAUUUGGAGUGAAAAAUCUGAGUUAUUAAUAAAAGAUUACUGGAAAUAUACUGUGAAAUUAUCUCUUAAAAGUAUAUAGGCUCGUUCAACCCUGAAAUAUGUCCGCAUUUAAAACUUAACAAUUUGGUUUGGGUAUUUAGCAUCGUCAACUUCCACCCCGCCCCACCCCCACCCCAACCCCUUUCUCUUCGUUUUGAGCCAUCUCUUCCCAUUGCUUACAUGUAGAUACAAUUGAUAUUAUCAUUGUAACCAUUGGACUUAGAUACAUACAGUAGUGUAUAUUAAUGUUAAUAGCAAAAAACACACCUGGCUAUGUGAAAAGGUCAGCCAACUUUUCUUGUCUGUGCACCUUAAAAAAAACUGCCAAGUCAAACUGCACUUAUGCUGCCACCCUACCAAGUACAGUCUACAUUGAUUUGAACUCAGUUAUUUUGAAUUCCCCAUUAUUUCAAACUCACAACCGUUUCCCUUGGAUUUGCUCUUCUGUCAUUUCCUAUUGGCUAUAAUUUUUCAAACUCGCGCUAAUUUGAACUGUUUUUCAUUUCCCAUUUGAGAGUUCGAAAUGGUGGGGUUCAAAGUCUGUACUUCAAUAAACACAGGACACUCAAUAAUUUGUAUUAUAUUUAUUUAAACUUUAAUAAGAUAUUUGAUUUUCUUGUGUGAUAAUGUAGACUAUGAUUUUACUUAAAUUAAAAAAAGGAAUAAAUACGUUGAACUGGAGACUUAAAUUCAACACAGCAUCAUCAGUGACACAUCCAUGCCCAAAUUAUUAUUAUUAUUUUUUGGCCAAAAAAACUGGUCGCUUUACCGACUAAAUUAUUUGAUAGUAGAUUCCUUGACUUAAAAUGAGUAUAUUUGUGUACUAAAGGUUUCAAAUUCAUCAAGUAGGUAGCCAACAAUAUUAUUUAUUAUUAUUUCCCUGGAUGGCUAUAUUUCAAAAUGUGCUAUCCUCUUGCUUCUCUAAAGUCAGUUUGUGGCAAAUCACAGAGUUGUGUGUAACCCAACAGCCACUAUUAAUGUAUGAUCAAGAUAAAUAAUAUUUUACCACUUAGUUUUGCACUGCCAGAAAUUAACUUUUCUGUAAUGGAAUGUCAGAUCUAAAUUAUCCUUCCUGACACAAAGCUCUGCUCUAGGGUCAGUUCUGUGCCAUUAAUGACAAUAAACUUUUUGUUUGUUUCCCACCAAAAUAAACUGACUUGUUACCCAAACUUAAACCACUGCUACAUGCAGACUUAUCUUAGAUUCCGUGAUUGGGAGUUUGGGAUCUGCAAGUCCUUUGUGUACAUCCUUUUGAUUAAAACACAUGUAACAUUUGCUUAAUAUCUAUCUUUUUUUUCUUGCUUCUUUUUUAAUGGAAAAGUACACCCCAAUGUCACAACAAGUAUGAUGCUAAAGAUUAAAAUGCUACUACAAAAGAAAUAAAUGAAAAAAACUCUAGUUCUGAUACAAAAGCAGAAAAGUAUUAAUUACCACUUUCAUGUUGAUGUUAAUCUGCCUUCCAAAUUGUACUUUGUUUACCUGUGGAAGAAUACCAUUCUGUUGAUAUAACUAACUUAAAUGAAUUAUUGGACCAGCUGAUCUUAAAAUUCUUUUCAAACAAAUGCAUAACAAUAUCAAUACUACUUUUAAUUUUGGGCAUCCCACAAUAAAUAUAUAAUUAUAUAAUCUGUUUUCAGACAGCAAAUUAAACUAGAAUAAUGGCUUAUUAGACUUAAACUGGUCAAGUCCCCUUUAAUUUAGCACAUACUCCUUUCAACAUUGCUUUCCAAGAAUGCCAAGCAGUAAAUAUUACCCUCACCACUUGACAUACCAAUACAUUUUUAAAAUACUGGCUAGUAGCAUACAAAAGUUCUGCAAAAAUGAAAUCAACAAAAAAUGGCCGCUAUUUGUUGGUAGAAAGUAGCAGAUCUAAGGUAGGGCCCCUUAUUGGUUUUGAGAAUGUAAGGACUGAUUAGUGCCCCAAAGUAUAGUUCCCAUGAAAAUGCUGACCAGGCCCUUUAAGAGUUAAAAAGUUCACAAUCUCACUUUAUGGCAACCCAUUUGAGCAAAUGUGAACAUGCUGUGUAUGUAUAUCUUUUCACAGUAACAUUGUUCCAUCAGUAGUGUUUGCUACUUCCCAAUACUAAAUGUAAGUUUGUUUAUAACUACAGGGUAGGAUUUUGCUUUCUUUAGUUACAAUAACCAUAGUUUUAUGGAUGUUUACCCACCCCUUGUCAUAAAAAAGCAGUUAAAUAGCUUAUGAUGUUCAAAAUUCAGAUUACUAUCUGUCAUUGACUCCAAUCUGUUGGGACCAAAAACAGAAAAGGAUGCAAAACCUUUCAGCCCCUGCAAAUUCUCCUUACAGUGUACUUGUCUACACAUACCCCCUAUA
rnacentral:misc_RNA from 1 species